CAGCUAGCCGGCGGCUACUUAGCCGUCAGCUAGCUGGCAGCUACCUAUUCAUCAGCUAGCUGGCAGCUACCUAUCCAUCAGCUAGCUAUCAGCUACCUAGCCGUCAGCUAGCUGGCGGCUACCUAACCUUCAGCUAGCUGGCAGCUACCUAGCCUUCAGCUAGCUGGCAGCUACCUAUUCAUCAGCUAGCUGGCAGCUACCUAUCAGCUAGCUAUCAGCUUCCUAGCCAUCAGCUAGCUGGGUCUUCCUGGGUCCACAUUCAGCGGGUCACCCUGAACACGGGGCUCCACCGGCGGUGGGCUGCCCUUCAGUAUUUCAUUCAUUCAUUUGUCGGUCACUCAUUCACGGCGUCGGGUUCAGCGGCGUCUACACCAGCGUGAUGAGCUGAGGGUCAACGGGCCAGGGGGCACAUCUAGAGCCAGUCUAGAUCGAGUCUAACUCAGGUCUAGGUCGGGUCCGAGUGCCGUCUAGAUAGGGUCUAACCCAGGUCCAGGUCCGGUGGGGGUCCGGUGGGGGUCUGAGAGGGGGUCCAGCGAGAGGUCAGCCUAUCAGAAGCGUUGUACAGUAUUGAUAUAUGAGCGGCCAUGCGCGGCUACAGAGCGGACUACAGCAGCUCUCUCCGCUGCGUCGCGCGGAGCUCCUUUGAGCCGACGUGGAGGGAAGCUGUGCUGCUAACCCUCUACAGAUGUGGAUGGGCCGACACACAACGAAACACACUGAACAGUUACACAGAGGGAGAGCAAGGGAGAGAGACUACUAGACAGGUUAACAACAGUUCAGGCAGCAGGAAUUUGAGAUGCAUUGAGCUGUGUUUGUCGGAGUGUGUGUGUUUGUUUGUGUGCCAUAUGUGUGCGUGUGUACCAUGCAUGCGUGUGUACCAUAUAUGCGUGUGUGUGCAUGUGUUGAAGAAGUCCUGUUUUGUUCUGAUUCACACAGUGCGUCCUCAAAGGACUGCUGGUCCAAGACGUCUCGAACAGGACUAAGACCAGGUCUAGACCUGGACUAAGACCAGGACUAGGGGCGCUCUUAGACCUUCGUCUUCCUCCUCCACUUCAUCUGAAGAUCCUCCUCUUCCUGUGAGGAGGGUCCGGUGCAGACCAGGUCAGAACCCAGUCUGGGAGUCUAGUGGUUCCACAAGGCUGGGGGAGUACAAAAUAAACGUGCACGCCCACGCUGUGCACGUUUACACACUGCUGGCACCGUAGUUUUAGAGACCAAAUACUUAGAAGACGCAGACUGGAGAGAGAUCUG
ensembl:lncRNA